rfam:Ovis aries breed Texel chromosome 17, whole genome shotgun sequence.
UCCCUGGUGGUCCAGUAGGUAAGACUCCAUGCUCCCAACGCAGGGGGCCUGGGUUCGAUUCCUGGUCAGGGAA